rnacentral:rRNA from 1 species
UACGUAGGUGGCAAGCGUUGUCCGGAAUUACUGGGUGUAAAGGGAGGGCAGGCGGGAAGCCAAGUCAGCUGUGAAAACUACGGGCUUAACUUGUAGACUGCAGUUGAAACUGGUUUUCUUGAGUGAAGUAGAGGUUGGCGGAAUUCCGAGUGUAGCGGUGAAAUGCGUAGAUAUUCGGAGGAACACCGGUGGCGAAGGCGGCCAACUGGGCUUUAACUGACGCUGAGGCUCGAAAGUGUGGGGAGCAAACAGG